UAAUCAUGCAGCUCUGUAAUGAAAAGCCUUCUUUUGCAAAGAGAUAUAAAUUUUAAAUAUGUUUUGUGUUUAUUAUAAACCAAUUAUGUACCCAGCACUCUAUUAAUGCAUUAGGAAGACUACAGAGGAAGCAGAAUAUAUUAUUGUCUCUUUCCUUAAAGGACUUUUGGGUUAUAAGUGACAGACAGAUACUUCAGUCCCUGAUCUCAUCAUUUUAUUCAUGAUUAGUGACUAUUGGCAAUUUAUUUAAGCAUUUUCCUCUUGCUAUCCAUGACACUGCACAAG
rnacentral:lncRNA from 1 species